CAGCCCAUUUGAGGCAAUGAUUGACACCAUUGCACUUUUAUUUUCUCUAUUUCUGAACUGACGUUAUUUGUUAUUGAUUUUCUCUAUCUUUGAACUGAUGUUAUUUGUUAUUGAUUAAGAUUACGAACGUAUCGUUAUUUCAUUAAAUUUGACAGUUUUAAGCUUGGCCAACCAUUUUAUUGGAUCGAUGUGGGAGAGGUGGGGCUUGAAAAGGCCCCCUUGUUCAAAGUGGGGAAUGACAGAAAAAGUUUGAGAACCACUGCCCUAGAGGAAGCUCUCUCUCUCUCACACACACACACGUCAACAGAAAGAAUAAGAGACGAGUUUUCACCAAGCAUAUUUCUAUACAGCAAAUUUUCACCUGACCAAAGUUGAUUUCAAAUGUGAUUUAUUUAAAAAAAAAAUAAAAAAAACAUUUUUCAGAAGUACUUUUUAACAAGCACGUGUCCUUCGUACAAUGCAAAAUAACAUUCCAACAUUCCACUUAGCAUGAGGUGGACACAAGUCAGAGCAACUGCAGUAUGACUGUGACCUGAUUUACACUUCUCUUUCUAAUAUUACAGUAUCAAUCUGCAGUUACUCUCAAUAUCGCCCCAAGUGCUCCAACACAGAGGUGUAUGAAAAACAAAACUGUUUACAGCUCCAUUGCUUGAUUGAACGACGAUAGAUAGAUAGAUAAAAGGCAGAAAAGGAAUGAAACAACCAGAGAGGCACACAGGUGUUCUUCUCUAGACACAGACACACACACACUGGUGUUCUUCCCCAGAUAGACGCACACAUACAUACAUACACACACACACACACACACACACACACACACACACACACACACACACUGGUGUUCUUCUCCAGACAGACAGACACACACACAGACACAUUGGUCGUCUUCCCCAGAUAGACACACACAUAUAUACACACACACACACACACACACACACACACACACACACACUGGUGUUCUUCUCCUGAUAGACGCACAUGCACACACACACACACUGGUGUUCUUCUCCAGACAGACAGACACACACACACACACACACACACUGGUGUUCUUCCACAGAUAGACGCACACACACACACACACACACACACACUGGUGUUCUUCCCCAGAUAGACGCACACACACACACACACACACACACACACACACACACACACGCAUACGGGCAGAGAAUAUGAAAGGUGACAGCAGCAUUUCUUUUAAAUAUGUGAGUAUGAAAAAAACAUAAGAAUAUCUGAAAAUACUUUUUGCAAAUGUCAGGACAGGAGAAGUGGAGACAAGUGAGAGGACAGGACAGGAGGAGGGGAGGGGAGUGAGAGGACAGGAGGAGGGGAGUGAGAGUGAGAGGACGGGAGGAGUGGAGACGAGUGAGAGGACAGGACAGGAGGAGGGGAGGGGAGUGAGAGGACAGGACAGGAGGAGGGGAGGGGAGUGAGAGGACAGGACAGGACAGGACAGGAGGAGUGGAGACGAGUGAGAGGACGGGAGGAGUGGAGACGAGUGAGAGGACAGGAGGAGUGGAGGGGGGGGGGGGGGGGGUGUCUCCAUCAUGUGACACUUUAAAGAAUGACGCUUGUUGGCAGAGAAGGGUUUCAGCAUGACGUGUGGGGGACCGCAGGCAGAAAAAGCACUUGGUUACUCAACAGCAUCUGCUUUUUCCUUUUCUGCCACCCCUAAUGCGCAACACCCUGCUAUUCAACACACACACGCACGCAGACAGACAGACAGACAGACAGACAGACAGACAAAUGCAUAUUUGUGUGUAUGAGUGGGUGGGUAAGCGCACAUGUGUGUGAUGUGUGCGUGCGAGUGUGUGUGUGUGAAUUUUUAUGCUCUUACCCCAUGGUGAUGACAUGGUGUCAUCCCUUUCCUCUAUAGGAAAUGUAUUUCAUACUCUAGACUGUUAUGCAAUCGCUCUCUCUCUCACACACACACACACACACACACACACACACACACACACACACACACACCCACAAACACACACAACCCAGCCACAGUCUCAGCACGAGAACACACUCUGACACAGCACAGGGCAUGAAGUUACAUUCAUCCUAAUGCUCCGCUAGUGAACACACAUGGGGCCAACUCCUAUACAUACAAGAAACACUGGCAGUGGAAUAGUCAGCAGUCAAAGAGAGAGAGUGUGUGUGUGCGUGUGUGUGUGUGUGUGUGUGUGUGUGUGCGUGUUUGUGAGUGUGUGUGUGUAUGUGUGUGUUUGUGUGUGUGUGUGUGUUUGUGAGUGUGUGUGUGUGUGUGUGUGUGUGUGUGUGUGUGUGUGUGUGAGUGUUUGUGUGUGUGUUUGUGUGUGUGUGUGUGUGUGUGUUUGUGAGUGUGUGUGUGUGUGUGUGUGUGUUUGUUUUUGUGAGUGUGUGUGUGUGAGGGGAUCAGAUGACGGAGAUAAUAGAGGUCCAGAGAAUCCAAAAUGCUAUGUGUGUUUAAGCUGCAGUCCAGCCAGGGAACACACACACACACACACACAGUUUGGAUCCACAGUCUGAAUGCAAGCCAGCCAGCUACACGCUGACUUGAAAUCGAUGACAGCUGUUUGUGAUAAUGAGUACAAUGUGCAUGUACAACCCAAUGAGUGUGUGUGUGUGUGUGUGUGUGUGUGUGUGUGUGUGUGUGUGUGUGUGUACAGUCCGAUGAGUGUGUGUGAAGUCAAGGUUCCUCUAUCCCAGGUCAGGGGCGGUUCCACUGAUGGCUCGGAACACGUGCAUGGAGUUCUGCAGCAGAGAACGCAUCACAUCCUCCUGGA
ensembl:lncRNA